rnacentral:rRNA from 1 species
UACGGGGGGGGCAAGCGUUGUUCGGAAUUACUGGGCGUAAAGGGCUCGUAGGCGGCCAACUAAGUCGGAUGUGAAAUCCCCAGGCUUAACCUGGGAACUGCGUCCGAUACUGGAUGGCUUGGAUUUGGGAGAGGGAUGCGGAAUUCCAGGUGUAGCGGUGAAAUGCGUAGAUAUCUGGAGGAACACCGGUGGCGAAGGCGGCAUCCUGGACCAAUAUUGACGCUGAGGAGCGAAAGCCAGGGGAGCAAACGGG